CCUACGGGGUGCAGCAGUAGGGAAUCUUUCACAAUGGGCGAAAGCCUGAUGGAGCAACGCCGCGUGCAGCAUGAAGGCCUUCGGGUUGUAAACUGCUUUUAUAAGCGAGAAAUAUGAUGGUAACUUAUGAAUAAGGAUCGGCUAACUACGUGCCAGCAGCCGCGGUCAUACGUAGGAUCCGAGCAUUAUCCGGAGUGACUGGGUGUAAAGAGUUGCGUAGGUGGCAUAAUAAGUAGCUAGUGAAAUCUGGUGGCUCAACCAUUCAGACUAUUAGCUAAACUGUUAAGCUCGAGACCGUUAGGGGUAACUGGAAUUUCUAGUGUAGGAGUGAAAUCCGUAGAUAUUAGAAGGAACACCAAUAGCGUAGGCAGGUUGCUGGGACGGUUCUGACACUAAGGCACGAAAGCGUAGGGAGCAAACGGGAUUAGAUACCCGAGUAGUC
rnacentral:rRNA from 1 species